GCGGACGUGGCUCAGUUGGUAGAGCAUCACCUUGCCAAGGUGAGG
rfam:Saccharothrix sp. ST-888 contig-88, whole genome shotgun sequence.